rnacentral:misc_RNA from 1 species
CCGAAUUGUUAACAAGAGUUGUUGCUGGUCUCCAUGUAUGGGGGCAUGUGCACGCUCUGUUUACACAUCCACUUACACCUGUGCACCCUCUGUAGUUCUGUGGCUUGUGGGGCUCCGCCCUCCUGCUGUGGUUCUACGUCUUUACACACACACUGUAAUAAAGUCUCAUGGAAUGUAUGUCGCGUUUAACGCAAUGAAAUA